rnacentral:rRNA from 1 species
GACGAACGCUGGCGGCGUGCUUAAUACAUGCAAGUCGAACGCAGAAGGAGGAGCUCUCUCUUCUGUCUGAGUUGCGGACGGACGAGUAACUCGUACGUAAUCUACCUGCUAGUGGGGGGUAACCAUUAGAUAGGAUAGACUACUCCUCAUAAUAGCAGACGAUUCAUGACAUCUAGUAUAGAUGUACAAUUGCCUCUACACCUAAUGGACCUGCGUUGGAUUAGCUAGUUGGUGGGGUAACGGCUCACCAAGGCGACGAUAAGUAGCCGGCCUGAGAGGGUGAUCGGCCACACUGGGACUGAGACACGGCCCAGACUCCUACGGGAGGCAGCAGUGGGGAAUCUUCCGCAAUGGACGGAAGUCUGACCGAGCAACGCCGCGUGAGUGAAGACGGUCUUCGGGUCGUAAAGCUCUGUUAUUAGGGAAGAAAGGGUGUGAGGGUAAAAGGUACAAGGAUUGACGGUAUCUGACCAGAAAGCGACGGCUAACUACGUG